rnacentral:lncRNA from 1 species
UAAGAGCGAGAAUGGAUCCUUCGAGACUUAUGCCUCUAUAUAAAUAACACAAUAAGAAACAUCACCCAUAAAGAAUAUAGGGAUAGGAGGAAAAAGAAUUAAGAAGCUACUCCUCAUGGAACAUAUGAAGAACAACACACAUGCUUUGUGUUUGGUAGUUCUUCUGAUGAUGUCCAGCACUUUAUGGUCAUGUCAAGCAACUGCAAGAAACAAAUGUACACUCUUUGUUUAUGUUUAGAAUAGUCCAAUUAUGUAUGAUGUAUGCUCACAACUUGGAUACUCAUAUAAUCUGAAAUUAUGCAAUUUAUACUGCAUAUCCUAAUAUGAACGGGGAUGCUAUACUUUGUUGUUCGUAGGUACAACUAGAUUGUGGACUUCAUGUACGGUUUUCCGAGCAUGCCAGACACCAACGCCCAACAAUGUUGCUAUGUGCAAGAUUAGCUAUGAAUGGCGUGGUUACAGCUUUGAAAAAAGUUACUGCCACGGUUCUAUAUCGUGUUGUUGCGUAUGGUGAAUGCUAUGGGAAUGAUGGAUACAAUGUACUUUCAUGUGCCAAAACCUUGUGCUAGUAAGAUAUGGAAACUUACAAUAAAUUAUACAAACUGAUUCUGGCUCAACUAUGCAACUCAAUGAAAUUAUACAAAUCUCGAUUUAAGUUUCUGUAAUUUAAAAAGUGAUUUUCCUAAU